rnacentral:rRNA from 1 species
UGAUGAAUUUUGCGCAAUGGACGAAAGUCUGAUCUAGCAACACCGCGUGUGCGAAGAAGGCCUUCGGGUCGUAAAGCACUUUUUGGAAGGAAUAGGAAGGAAUGUACUUCCAGAAUAAGUCUCGGCUAACUACGUGCCAGCAGCCGCGGUAACACGUAGGAGGCAAACGUUAUCCGGAUUUACUGGGCGUAAAGCGCGUGUAGGUGGUUCUGUAAGUAGGGCGUGAAAGCUCCUGGCUCAACUGGGAGAGGCCGUUCUAAACUGCAGAGCUAGAGGAUGGUAGAGGGAGGUGGAAUUCCGGGUGUAGCGGUGGAAUGCGCAGAUAUCCGGAGGAACACCAGUGGCGAAAGCGGCCUCCUGGACCAUUCCUGACACUCAGACGCGAAAGCUAGGGUAGCAAACG